rnacentral:rRNA from 1 species
AGGAUAAACGCUGGCGGCGUGCCUUACGCAUGCAAGUCGAACGGGGGGCUUCGGCCCCUAGUGGCGGACGGGUGAGGAACACGUACGUGACCUAACGCGCAGUGGGGGAUACCCGCCCGAAAGGGCGGCUAAGACCGCAUACCCUCCCGGGGGGUGCUUCGGGAGGAAAGGCAGCGAUGUCGCUGGGUGAGGGGCGUGCGGCCGAUUAGCUAGCUGGUGGGGUAACGGCCUACCAGGGCGACGAUCGGUAGCUGGG